AUUGAACGCUGGCGGCAGGCCUAACACAUGCAAGUCGAGCGGAUGAAGGGAGCUUGCUCCUGGAUUCAGCGGCGGACGGGUGAGUAAUGCCUAGGAAUCUGCCUGGUAGUGGGGGAUAACGUCCGGAAACGGGCGCUAAUACCGCAUACGUCCUGAGGGAGAAAGUGGGGGAUCUUCGGACCUCACGCUAUCAGAUGAGCCUAGGUCGGAUUAGCUAGUUGGUGGGGUAAAGGCCUACCAAGGCGACGAUCCGUAACUGGUCUGAGAGGAUGAUCAGUCACACUGGAACUGAGACACGGUCCAGACUCCUACGGGAGGCAGCAGUGGGGAAUAUUGGACAAUGGGCGAAAGCCUGAUCCAGCCAUGCCGCGUGUGUGAAGAAGGUCUUCGGAUUGUAAAGCACUUUAAGUUGGGAGAAAGGGCAGUAAGUUAAUACCUUGCUGUUUUGACGGUACCAACAGAAUAAGCACCGGCUAACUUCGUG
rnacentral:rRNA from 1 species